GACGAACGCUGGCGGCGUGCCUAAUACAUGCAAGUAGAACGCUGAAGAGAGGAGCUUGCUCUUCUUGGAUGAGUUGCGAACGGGUGAGUAACGCGUAGGUAACCUGCCUGGUAGCGGGGGAUAACUAUUGGAAACGAUAGCUAAUACCGCAUAAAAUGGAUUAUCGCAUGAUAAUCCAUUGAAAGGUGCAAAUGCAUCACUACCAGAUGGACCUGCGUUGUAUUAGCUAGUUGGUGGGGUAACGGCUCACCAAGGCGACGAUACAUAGCCGACCUGAGAGGGUGAUCGGCCACACUGGGACUGAGACACGGCCCAGACUCCUACGGGAGGCAGCAGUAGGGAAUCUUCGGCAAUGGACGGAAGUCUGACCGAGCAACGCCGCGUGAGUGAAGAAGGUUUUCGGAUCGUAAAGCUCUGUUGUAAGAGAAGAACGAGUGUGAGAGUGGAAAGUUCACACUGUGACGGUAUCUUACCAGAAAGGGACGGCUAACUACG
rnacentral:rRNA from 1 species